CCGGUUGAUCCUGCCGCCGGCAGGAUCAACCGGAUUGAUACUAAGCCAUGCGAGUCAUUGUAGCAAUACAAGGCAGACGGCUCAGUAACGCGUAGUCAACCUACCCUAUGGACGGGAAUAACCUCGGGAAACUGAGUAUAAUGCCCGAUAGAACACUAUACCUGGAAUGGUUUGUGUUCCAAAUGAUUUAUUGCCGUAGGAUGGGACUGCGGCCUAUCAGUUUGUUGGUGAGGUAAUGGCCCACCAAGACUAUUACAGGUACGGGCUCUGAGAGGAGUGGCCCGGAGAUGGGUACUGAGACACGGACCCAGGCCCUAUGGGGCGCAGCAGGCGAGAAAACUUUGCAAUGUGCGAAAGCACGACAAGGUUAAUCCGAGUGGUUUCUGCUAAAGGAACCUUUUGACAGUCCUAGAAACACUGUUGAAUAAGGGGUGGGCAAGUUCUGGUGUCAGCCGCCGCGGUAAAACCAGCACCUCAAGUGGUCAGGAUGAUUAUUGGGCCUAAAGCAUCCGUAGCCGGCUCUGUAAGUUUUCGGUUAAAUCUGUACGCUUAACGUACAGGCUGCUGGGAAUACUGCAGAGCUAGGGAGUGGGAAGGUGUGGGGUACGCUCAGGGUAGGGGUAAAAUCCUGUCAUCCUAAGCGGACCACCUGUUGCGAAGGCGCCACACUAGAACGGAUCCGACGGUCAGGGACGAAGCCUAGGGGCACGAACCGGAUUAGAUACCCGGGUAGUCCUAGGUGUAAACGCUGUGGACUUGGUGUUGGGGAUUCUCCGAGGAUUCUCAGUGCCGAAGCGAAGGUGAUAAGUCCACUGCCUGGGAAGUACGGUCGCAAGGCUGAAACUUAAAGGAAUUGGCGGGGGAGCACCGCAACCUGAGGAUUGUGCGGUUUAAUUGGAUUCAACGCCGGAAAACUCACCAUAGCCGACGGACAAAUGAAGAUCAGUGUAAUGAGCUUAUCGGAUUGUUCGAGAGGUAGUGCAUGGCCGCCGUCAGUUCGUACCGUAAGGCGUUCUGUUAAGUCAGAUAACGAACGAGACCCUCAUCCCUAUUUGCUAAGGUCAGUCCGCUGAUCACAGGACUAUAGGGAGACCGCUGGCGCGAAGUCAGAGGAAGGCGAGGGCAACGGUAGGUCAGUAUGCUCCGAAUGCACUGGGCUACACGCGCAAUACAAAGGACGGGACAAUGGGCUGCUGCGCCGAAAGGCAUGAUAGCUAUCCCGAAACCUGUUCGUAGUUCGGAUUGAGGGCUGUAACUCGCCCUCAUGAAGCUGGAUUAGGUAGUAAUCGCGUCUCAAAAAGGCGCGGUGAAUAUGCCCCUGCUCCUUGCACACACCGCCCGUC
rnacentral:rRNA from 1 species